rnacentral:lncRNA from 1 species
UAGCGAGGAGGAGUUGAGAGAACGGAGCGGACGCCAUGGCGGCCGACAUCGAGCAGGUUUUUAGGUCUUUCGUGGUCAGUAAAUUCCGGGAAAUACAACAGGAGCUUUCCAGUGGAAGGAGUGAAGGCCAGCUGAAUGGUGAAACGAAUGCACCCAUUGAAGGGAACCAGGCAGGUGACACAGCUGCCUCUGCAAGGAGUCUCCCAAAUGAAGAGAUAGUGCAGAAGAUAGAGGAGGUCCUCUCUGGGGUCCUAGACACAGAACUGCGAUACAAGCCGGACUUGAAAGAGGCCUCCAGAAAAAGUAGAUGUGUAUCUGUACAAACAGAUCCUACCGAUGAAGUUCCCACCAAAAAGUCAAAGAAGCAUAAAAAGCACAAAAACAAAAAGAAGAAAAAGAAGAAAGAAAAGGAAAAA